rnacentral:rRNA from 1 species
GAUGAACGCUGGCGGCGUGCCUAAUACAUGCAAGUCGAGCGAACAGACGAGGAGCUUGCUCCUCUGACGUUAGCGGCGGACGGGUGAGUAACACGUGGAUAACCUACCUAUAAGACUGGGAUAACUUCGGGAAACCGGAGCUAAUACCGGAUAACAUGUUGAACCGCAUGGUUCAACAGUGAAAGACGGUCUUGCUGUCACUUAUAGAUGGAUCCGCGCCGCAUUAGCUAGUUGGUAAGGUAACGGCUUACCAAGGCAACGAUGCGUAGCCGACCUGAGAGGGUGAUCGGCCACACUGCAACUGAGACACGGUCCAGACUCCUACGGGAGGCAGCAGUAGGGAAUCUUCCGCAAUGGGCGAAAGCCUGACGGAGCAACGCCGCGUGAGUGAAGAAGGUCUUCGGAUCGUAAAACUCUGUUAUUAGGGAAGAACAAAUGUGUAAGUAACUAUGCACGUCUUGACGGUACCUAAUCAGAAAGCCACGGCUAACUACGUG